rnacentral:rRNA from 1 species
UGAUAGAAAUUUAAAUACUUUUUAAAGUAUCAAUUGGAGGGCAAGUCUGGUGCCAGCAGCCGCGGUAAUUCCAGCUCCAAUAGCGUAUAUUAAAAUUGUUGCAGUUAAAAAGCUCGUAGUUGAAUUUUUGCUAAAAAUAACCGGUCUGCUUUUAUUAUUAAAAGUGGUAUCUUGGUGUGUUUUUAGCAAUAAUGUCCUUUGAAAUGUUUUUUACUUUAUUGUGAAAAGCAAUUUUGAGGAUUUUUACUUUGAGAAAAUUAGAGUGUUUCAAGCAGGCUAACGUUUUGAAUACUGCAGCAUGGAAUAAUAAAAUAGGAUUUUAGUUCUACGUUAUUGGUUUUAAGAACUAAAAUAAUGAUUGAUAGGAGCAGUUGGGGGCAUUUGUAUUU